UUUUACACUCACCGAGAACUGUUGUAUCCCCUGUUGUAGAACAUAGGUGGACUGAGAGUGGAAUGGUGUGAGAUUUAUCUCUUCCUCCCAGACCUACGAUAGUUCGACUAUCAGCCAUUGUCUACAAACAGAAGAUGAAUUGCGGCUGCUUAUUAAGCCUGCACCUUGGCUUGCAGUCCGUGGUGACCUUAUUCACCCCUUUUACUAUAUAAUUUCUGAUGUGUAUGUUUAUAAAUGAUUCCUAACUUCGGUUGGUUGAGUCGCUUAUAAAUGUCGUAUAAUUUUAAUACGAAACAACUCUUAGCAACGGAUAUCUUGGUUCUCGUAACGAUGAAGAGCGCAGCGAAAUGCGAUACGUAAUGCGAAUUGCAGAAUUCAGUGAAUCAUCAAAUUCUUGAACGCAACUGGCGCCUUCAGGUCUACCUGGAGGCACGUUUCUCUCAGUGUCGGUAUCACUCUCUCCAACUACUAAGUUUACUUAGACCAGUUUGGGAAAAUGAGUGUUAUGAUACUUGCUAUCAUAUCGCUUUAAAUACCAUGAGUUAGUUCCUCUUAGUUGGGAGUCUCUUCGGAGAUAACCGCUAUUAACGACUUAGUGAUGUGGGUAAAUCGUCUUCGGAUGAUACUUCACAUCAAUGCUAGGCUGUUAAUGGUUCACUAAGUGUGAAUUAGCGCAACUUGCAGAUUUACUGAUAGUACUUGUACUGUUAGAAUUUCUCAUAUUUUGACCUGAGAUGAAGCGAGGCAACCCGCGGAAUUUAAGCAUAUUAUUACGCGGAGGAAAAGAAACUAACAAGGAUUCCCCUAGUAACGGCGAGUGAAGCGGGAAGAGCUCAAGUUUUAAAAUCGAUGUGCUUGCACUUCGAAUUGUAGUCUCGAGACAUGCUGUCUGCGGUGACGUCGGUACAAGUACCUUGGAAGAGGUUAUCAGAGAGGGUGACAAUCCCGUCGCUGACCGACAGAUCGCCGCUUUCGACGUAUGUUCACAGAGUCGGAUUGCUUGGGAGUGCAGUCCUAAUUGGGUGGUAAAUUUCAUCUAAAGCUAAAUAACGACGAGAGACCGAUAGCGAACAAGUACCGUGAGGGAAAGAUGAAAAGAACUUUGAAAAGAGAGUCAAAAAGUACUUGAACUUGUUAAGAGGGAAGAGUUGAAAACUAGUAUUGCUCGUAGUUACUUUCCCGUUCUGACUGAAACGUGUGCGUAUACCGAGAUCAAACCGUGAUGCGUAUUCGAAUUAGUUGGAGCGGUCCCUGUAGUUAUGAGUAGGUCAGCAUCAUUUCGAAGUGUGGGAGAAAGCUAUGUGGAAGGUAGGGUCUUCGGACCUGUUAUAGACAUGUAGCCAUACCAUGCUUUGGAUUGAGGAUGUAUCGACGCUCCGUUUUACGGAGUGACCACUUGCUACCUCAUAUGCUCUAAGUGCUGGAAAACAAUGUUUUGCUGUGUUUAGGGUGUGUGACUGUGGUAAGG
rnacentral:rRNA from 1 species